rnacentral:lncRNA from 1 species
UUUUUUUUUUUUUUUUUUUUUUGUUGACUGGAAGGUAUGCUGAUUUGAUCAGAAUCAUCUUAACUGGCCAGACUACUCCUCCUAGACUGUGAGAGCUCGUCCCAAGGAUCAUAGCACGAAGGCACCCAUGAAUCGAAUCUGAGACCUAUUCCUAAAGAGGAGACUACAAAACCGUCUGAGCUGUCCGAGGGGGCUAAUAGCCUAAUAAAUCGCUCGCCUAUGACCAUGAUUAUUUGAUCUAGGAUGGCUAGAAAAAUUGUUCCUUUUUCUUCCACUAUAUGUUUGUUUGCAGAGGAAUUUGCGAUUUUUUUUUGAAGUUAAAAAAUCGAUUUAAAUGCACUUUUACAAUAUCAAAAUUGCGUGCGUGCUCCUAUAUACACACCUACACGCACACCCCUUCUGGAAGAGUGGGUGUGCGUGCGGUUUGGCCAAGUUGCAUAUAAUAACUAAGCUAAAGACUAAAGUUGCUCGCUUCAGUUUCGCCGCAUUCAACAAUUAUGUGCUACAAAUCUCGCCUCCACUUAAGGGUCUGGGACUUGCAUGAUGAUCAUCUUCACCGUUUCAACUUUCUUGCGCUAUCUUCCGUCAGAACUUAGGAAUAUUGCGGCCGGGCGGUUUUAGCGUCAGAGCUGUAAUCUUUACAUACCCUAAUCAUUCAUGUUGAAUUUUUCAACGUUUAAACCCAAAGUAUCCAGUUAAGUAAUGAAAAGGUGAUAGCGUAUUUUGUAGACUAAUAGCUUUGUCUCCUGCUGCUGUCAAGGUUUGGUCCAAGUAAUGAAAUUUUCUUGGAAAUUUGUUGCCAUUGCUGCUUGCUUUAAACUUCAAUUCCAUUAGAGUUACAUGUUGGACCACGAGAGAUAGGCGUAGCCACUCAACUUCUGGCUUUUUAAGUUCAACAACAGCCUCUUGCCUGACAAUUGGUUUUUCGUGGUCCUUGAAGUCAUCUUCUAAACUAAAGCUUCUCAGAAAUUUAUUUAUUUAUUUGGGAUUGUGAAAAUUGGUUAUAAGGUCCAAUAUUUCCAAGAAAAUAACUUACUAAGAAACUUGUGUGGAAAAAGAGUACGGCUUACAUUAUCGUAACAUUUUUUAAAAUGUGAUGCAUGUGAGUUAAAAAAAAAAUAGUUGAAAAAUGCAUUAAAGAAUUCUAAAGGACGAAAAACUAUAUAAAAUUUCUAAAACUUGGGAUGGUUUUCACCUAGUUCCCUGCAACCAACCCCUUUUUUCUUAUUAUUAUUAUUAUUUUUGUACCAUCCCAUCACUCUAAUACUUUAACAUUCCCUUUAUGAACUUUUUGAAAAUUUUGGACGUGGGCCAAUUUUUAUUCCAGCAUUGGACCCUAGCGAACCUUCUUCACGCGUAUAUUGCUGAGGGCCCAUACCAACAGCAAUAAAAGGGGGGCAAAUUGCAGGUGGUUGACUUCAUCGCGGUGUUAAUUGAAUCAACCACUUGCUGCUCAUUUUGGCACGUUUUCUUGCGGUUUAAUUAUCCAUUCGUCUUGCUGCAAAGUUGCUUCCCCUUUCCUCGUGAAAUGCAAAAUUCAGGCAUUGACUGUCAGAAACUGAAGCUUAUCCAGUCAUCACAGUCGAUUGCAAAAUAAGCCCACAGAUAUUUUGUCCAAACCUCUGCUGCUUGGCUCGUCAUUAGGCCGAAGCUUCAUUUGUUCGUUUAUGACGACCAUAUUCGUGCAAAAUAUAUGGAUAUUGUGGAUUUGUUAAAAUUACUUUUGUAUAGAGCAAAUAACUUUCUUCGAUUUUACAAAUCUUUCAUUAGCAAAAUAACUUGUCUGUUUGCUUCAUACUUGUUUGGUUGAGAUAAAAGCUUGCCUAUAUUUUCUCAGGCACAAGUUAAUGAACAGAAUUGGUAAUUCAAACAACAUAUGUGAAAAGACUAUAGAGAAGACGUACGAAAUGCUCUCUCUCUCUCUCUCUCUCUCUCUCUCUCUCUCUUUUUCUUAUGCUGACAUUGGGGGUUUCUUUUAAUUUUAGAAACCUCUUCUAAAACUUUUUGACAAUUUCAUUGGCCUCUCUUAAAGUUUACAAAAUAACACUUACCUCCCUUAGUGGAAUUGCGAGUCUAAUUGUUUAAUUCGGAUCUAUCACAGAAUUAUCACCUAAAUUCAAGUUUGGGGUUAAAGUCUAAAUUUUUGUUGCUCAUUCAAUUUCUAGAAGGCUAAUAACAUUCCAGCCUGAUUGACACUCCACAUUAGAAUUGAAGGGCUGCUAUAUUUUUACCUUCAUAUUUGUUGCCCUAGUACCCUUUUUUUCUUCUUUGCUACGCAAGCAUUUGAGUGGGUUCGGUUCUAGUCACUAUCACGAGUUAGGUCCUGUCCCUCAAAUUGAAGUUUAAAAUUGCCUGAUUGACACUCCAUAGGACUAAAGGGCUGUUAUAUUUUUACCUUCAUAAUUAUUGUCCCAGUACUUUCAUCUUUUUUUUUUUUCUUUUUUGGUAAGUAAAAGUCGGAGUGGAUUGGGCUAUAGUUACUUCAAGGGGUAAGGAAAUACGCCUGAGGCCAUAGGUUAAUUGUAAGAUUCUUAUAAAUCAUUUAUUAAUAUAGCACUUACACCGAAAACGAGACACUUUUUAUGAGAAAGUGAUCUGAUUAUUUGGUUAGUUCCGUGGAUGCUCAGAUGGGAUCACGAGGGGAAACGGGGCAGGAGCGGUCAUAGAAUGAUCGUUCCUAAGCUGUUAAUGAUCAUGAUUUGAUUUUAAUAAAUUAUACGGUACAGAUCACAAGUUAUGCAUCGAUUUUCACAUCAUAUAUGAGACUCAUAAAAUUUUAUACUAAAAUUAUAUAUUAUGUAAAUAAAAUUACGUUGUGUGCAACUAAAGUUACGUGCCGUUCAAAAUAACCAAAAUCCCCUCGUCCAUCGUGAGGCUGUUUUUAGCCCCACUUGCAGAAAACCAAGCUAUCCCAAAUUCCAAGUCGUCGCCGUAAAUUGCAUGCCAUCAUCAUCGAAGUCAAUUCCAAAAGGGACCCAAGAAUUGAGUGAUUGAUCUUCAUUAAUUUGCAAACAUAAAAGUCCAGAAUUUUGCCAAAAUGUAAACAAACCCUUUCAACUUUUCAAGCAGUUUAUAAUUAGACUGCAGCUUAGCAAAAUAAAAAUGAUUUAUGUACUUAUCUGCUAUAAUCCAUCAUCUUAACCUAUUUAGUAUGCUUAUUAAAGCUCUGUUGGCGUUGCAUGGGCUUUUCUCCGUUAAAAUAAUAUAUUUUAACGUGCAAUGACAAAUAACUUGCAUGAACCAAUAUCUCAAACAAAUUUGUUGACCCAAUAUCAAAAAACGAAAAAAUAUGGGAGCAUCGGAUAGCUUUUUUUUUUUUUUCUCUGGUCAUUCUCAAAUUUUCACUUUUCCAUGUAUAAAAAUCUAAUAAAAAAUUAUCAAAUGUUCAAUCUUCGAUUAACAAAACUUUGCGUGAGAAUUUAGAUUGAUGUCGGAGACAAUUGGAUAACGUGUAAAUAAUUGAUGUUUGAGACAAUUGGAUAAUCUCAUUUAUUAUGUUUUAGUCAUUCUCAAAUUUUCACUUUUCCAUGUAUAAAAAUCUAAUAAAAAAUUAUCAAAUGUUCAAUUUUUGAUUAACAAAACUUUGCGCGUGCAUUUAGAUUGAUGUCUGAGACAAUUGGAUAACGUGUAAAUAAAUAAUUGCUACUCCCCUUACAGGAACCCGUGAGGAAUCUGUUUUCCAUUUUAUGGAGAUUUUUCAUGACUUUCACAUCCCAUGAAAUUUACUACCCAACUAUUCAAGUUCCAAAAGUCCUGGAUAUCAAAGUCAUGGUUGUCUUUUUAACUUUAUUGACAUUUUUUCCUCCUUAAUAACGUUUCAUUGUCUAGUAACAUAUUAUUCAGUUCGGUUCAUGCAUUUGUCUUUGUUUUGGAGCAGUUGGUGGCCGCUACUUUUGGAGGUAAUUUCAACUUCUAAGAUUCGUUGCCCGUGUAUAAACGUUUUGCAAACUACAAACAUAUUGCUAUUGACGACGAUUUCCGAAUCCCAGGAGAAAUUGACACGCAACAAAAUAAGGAACAAAACAAUUUUGGCAUAUGAUGCCAUAUGCAAGACCCAGAAAAUUUUCUUUGAGGGAAGCAAAAAAUGACAUUUGUACAAGUGGGGAAGUUCAAUACGAAACUUUUAAGCCUUUUGUGAGAGGAAUCUGUUCUGGCAGAUUUUUUAUUUUUUAUUUUUUGAGAAAAAUCUCAAUUCUAAAAUGGUGAAAAUACAAUUUUUAGAAUCUUUUUUUGUGGUUCUAGCACCACCCUCCAGGUAAUGUAUCGCCUGAAUAUAGAUAGCAUGAUGAACGAAAAGACAUCUAAUGUUAUUGAAAAUAUGGGGAAGAAGGACGACAAAGAAAGCAUCUUUUUACAUGAAUGUUAGGUUCAAAUUUUUAGGACAAGGGGCACAAACAACCGAUUGUGCCGGUUUGUGCAUUUUUCAACCGCGCGUAAUAUUUUUUACAUAUCGCGUAAUUUUCUUUACACAUGAAGUAACUUUAGAACAAUUUUUUGUGGGCUCCAUACAUGACGUGAAAAUCAAGUUAACCGUUCCCGUCCCAUUUCCAAAUUUUUAUUAUCAUGCUUCUGGUUUGAUCAAUGUUGGCAUUUGGAAGUUGGGGGGGGGGGGGGGCUAAUUCUGAUUUUAAGGGAGAAACUUGUGUAUGGGAGAAGAGACAAUUUAAAAUUUGUACCAUUUUCAAACCAUUUAAUUAAAAAAAAAUCCGAGUGCGAAUAAACUUUGAAAUUUGUGUAGAUUUACUAUUUAAUGGCUAACCUUCACAGCUGAAAUUGAUCUUGUGAUAGAUAGACUAUAUGCUAGUAGACUAGUAGUGACACUAGCUAGAAGCGUUUGUGCUUUUCUUUCUCUUCUCUAAUUUACUUUUGUAUAUAUAUAUACCAACCAUUUCCUAGUAAAAACAAUCAUUUUGGUGAUGACAAAUUGAUCCCAGUACGUGAAAUAGAAUGGCUUCAGAGGCCCAUAGCUAGUGUUAAUAUCUUUUACAUAUCUUUCUAAUUUUUUCGGAUUUUUCCCUUUUUUGACUGGUGAUAUCACAUCACCACAAUAAAAAACAUUCUUUGGUUCAAAGUGUCUGGCGAAGAAUGACUUAAUUAUACUAAGUGGGUACGGUAGAAGGUCUAUUUCAAUCUCAAGAUUAAGGCUGUGUCGGCCCGACAAAGCAAAUUGAACUUGAUGAAAAGAUUCAAAAUAUUAUUUUAAGCGAAUAUUGCUCAAUAUCAAGUUAUCUUACAUUCAAACUCAGCAAGAUUAGGAGCAAAAAAUUGUCCACACUUUAUGCACAUUGAUUUUGUCAUAUGUAUAAGAUAUAAUUUCAGUGGGACAAAUAAGUCAACUUAACACAAUCAAAUGAAAAUUGUAGUGUCCCCUUGUCGAUUACCUUUGGGUUUUUUUUUUUUUUUUUUAUAAAUUUAAUUGGUCACUACCAACUGGUAGAAUUUCUAGAACUUACAAGGACACAUGCAUCCUAUUUUUCAAUAAUAAAUGGGAAUUUUAUCUCGCUCCAUCCAAGAAAAGAAAGUUGGACUUUUGUGCAUGUAUGGUAUGUUAUGAUAUGACAAAUUAAAAUGAUCAAGAUUUGACUUGAUCAACCGCCUAAUCCUGUAAUCCAGCCAAAGUUGUGGCAUAUCUGACCAUCGGCCUCAAGAAUUCUCGCGUUACAAAAAUCAAACUAGACUAUGAUACUUUAGGUAUUUUUUUUCUUUGAUCUCAUGAAUUACUAGCUAGGGAUACCAUUAGAAACGUACUUGUUUGUUUGUUGAUCGAUGUUCACACAAAGUGGAGGUAAGACAAUUGUCAUGAGAAAGCAUAUAUACAUCACUCAAGGAAGGAUGGAUAGGGUUAGGACGUUUGUCUUCUAAAACUUGACUCGAAUGUGGUAACUUAUAAGACUUGCUUUGCAUUGUCACAAUUGUAGGAUCAAGAGGAAGACAAGUGGCCUAAGGGUUAAUUAAUAGGGAGUAUUUCCUUUGACAUUGAAAAAGGAUUUCUUGUGACUGUGGACUUCAAUCAACUCCAUCAACUUUAUAUUUGAGGGCCAUCAAUUUUUCACUCUUCUCAAAAUCAUGAUCUUUAAGAAUCCAAAGAAGUCGAUAGAAAAUUGAUGCUGUUAGGCCGAAAUCACCAAUUUAGAACGCUUCUAAUGCUAACCACUCACACAACCAAGAGAAACACGUGUUGAGUAUGUCUUUGUGUCCCACAUUGAAACUUUUAUAAAGAAGUAUCUUCUCUUAGUGGUUAUAAAUAUAGUAGACUUAAGUGAAUUUAAUUGUACUAAGGGCACCAACCCAAGUGUCGUGUACACUAGUUCAAUAGAGUAUUAGGGGGCCCAUGCCCCAACUAAGAGAGGUUUUGGUUUGGCAUCAAACCAAAAGAACAAGUCAUGGGCUUUUGGGCCAUUAUGUAUUUAGUGCUAUUUAGAUCUUUUGUGUUUUCAGUUUUAUGUGCCUUUUGGAUCUGAAAAUUAUUUCCUAGGGUUUUGUACUCUCUCUUUUUGUCAUAGUAAAUCUGCUACCUCUUUGCUCGUGGACGUAGGUCGAUUUGAUCGAACCAUGUAAAUUUCGUGUUUCUCUAUUUGAUUUAUUUGUUUUGUUAUUGUCAUUAUUGAGUUGACAAAAAUCCUAUUAUUCUCAUUGGUCAAUUUUCUAGAAUCAGACCUAACAAAUUGGUAUCAGAGUUUCAGGUUUCAGAUUCAACUUCAAGUUUGGGGUCAUGGUCAGAUUUUGGCUUCUUGAUGACAAUAACAAAUUUUGGGUGCUACAGAGAGUAAAAGAAAAAAAAAUUCAUUGGAGUUCAAUUGGGAUUUGAAGAAGAGUUAUUUGACCCGUUAGAACUCGUUAAGGGUUUUGACAAAAAGGUGGAGCAAGAUUACUAUGUUCGUGCUUUUUUAGUCCGUUGGGAUCUGUUGAACCUUUGUGGGGCAUGUUGAGCCUUUUGUAUCUUGGUUCGUUAGGACUCAUUGUGGUUCGUUGGGACUUUUGUAAUUCGUUGAGAUCCGUUGAGAUUUUUAUGGAGAAGAUGGAGUUUGUUUGCAAUUUGUCUACUAUUUACCGAUGUUGAAUACACGUCAAGGUGGAGAUUUGUUGAGUAUAUCUUUAUAUCCCAUAUCGGAACUUUUAUAAAGAAGUAUCUCCUCUUAGUGGUUAUAAAUAUAGUAGACUUAAGUGAGUUUAAUUGUGUUAAGGUCACUAGUCCAAGUGUCGUGUGCACCAGUUCAAGAGAGUUUUAGGGAGCUCACGCCCCAAAUAAGAGAGGUUUUGGUUUGGCAUCAAACCAAAAAAGCAAGUCAUGGGCUUUUGGGCCAUUAAGCAUUUAGUGUUAUUUAGAUUCUAUUGUGUUUUCAAUUUUAGGUGCCUUUUUGGCUCGAAAAUUAUUUUUUAGGGUUUUGUACUCUCUCUGCUGUACUCUCUCUUUUUGUCAUAAUAAAUCUAUUAUCCCUUCGCCCGUGGACGUAGGUCGAUUUGAUUGAACCACAUAAAUUUAGUGUUUCUCUGUUUGAUUUAUUUGUUUUGGUAUUAUCAUUAUUGAGUUGGCAAGAAUCCUGUUAUUCUCGUUGGUCAAUUUUCUGGGACCAGACCUAACAAUAUAUCUGGAAAAGGAAACUGAUGCCACUAAUUGCAUUAGUACUUGGAUAAACGCGUACGGAAAGAAUAAAACACUUAUUAGCACUUAGAAUCUAAGGUUACGGGCGAAUGAUUUUAAGUUAAAGUAAGAAGAGAAGUUGUCGCCUUUAUGCUGAUUUAUCUAACCCUCAAAAGUGCAUGCACCAAUAUGGUUUGGAAUGUCUUAUAAGUGAUGUCCAAACUCUCUUUGCUCGUGACUUCGAAUCAAUUCAAUAGAAUCAUUUAUAAUGCAGCUUCAUUGUCAAGACCAUGGACAUCGAAAUUGUAUUUACUUUUUUUUUCUGUAAUUUCUCGAAAUCACAUACACCUAAAAGAAAUUUUCUCCAGCAAGCUCCCUUGGCCAACGAAGACUUAAAAUUUGAAGAAAUGUCAAUACAUAAAUAUUCAAGCUCUUUUUACACUAAUUUAUAAUUAGAAAAUGAGACUGGGAAGUUGUUACAUAACAAGCUGACCGUGCUUGUUACUUUUGAGAAAUAUGGGUUUAACUGAUAUUUUUUCCCAGGAGGCCUCAAUUUCAAUUUUUAGUCCAAAGAGGGAAAAAAAUACAGUUUUAGUUUUAGAGUAUAUGAAGGUACAAAUUUUUAUCUAUGAGCCUUUAAUGUGUUAGCUUACUUAAAAAUUAGAAGUGCAUACAAUUUACAAAGCUUGUAGCCGUAUGAUCGAUCACAUAUGAGUGGAGAUACGAAUUCCCAAUCCUUCUAUAUAUAUAUAUAUAUAGAAGGCAAUUUUAAACUUUCAUUUUUAAAAUUUUUUUUUUAUUAUAUUAGUUCAUGUAGAAGGUUAAAGUAUUAUUAUUAUUAUUAUUUUGUGUUUGUCAAAUUAUUCAAAACUUAAAUACUUAACCAAAAUUUGUUAAAAACAGCUGAUUUGACUUAUUUUUAAACUUAAACAAUGAAAAUAGAGAUUAAAUCAAACUUUAUUUUCUUGGACAAAAAAAAGGACAAUAAUAAUAAUAAUAAUAAUAAAUAAUUUCGGCAACAAAAGGAAAAUAUUAUCAUAACAUCUUUGGCCAUCAACCGUCAAGGCCCCAGUGACGAAGACCCCCGCUGAUUUUAUAGCGCCAGCAAAAUUGAAGCACAAAAUUGAAACAGGAGUGACCUAACAAAAAUGUUUUAACAUUUUUAAGGAAGGAGUCCAAAUUUUUUUGCUUUUCUUGUCUAUACAUAGUCAGGAAACCUAUGGACUUCAACGAUAUACUGAUACAUCAAAGACUUGAAAAGCACAAAGAAACAUAACCUGAGAACUUUACCAAUGCUUCAGAAAUGACUUAAGAAGCAAAGUCUUGCUAAUUUCCGAGAAACUUCAUUUAGUCGUUAGUAGCUGGUACAUUAUACCUAUCCAAUACUAUCUCCCCCCGUGGACGGAACUAAGGGGGAGCGAUAGGGGCCUCGCGAAUUUCUUAGAAAAUGUAUAUAGGCCCCUGAAACUUUUUCAAACUUAUAUAUGAAGUCCUAAUUUCUAAAUCAAAUUUUAUCAUUUAGAGAAUCUACUUAAAUGUCAUUGUUUAAAACCAACUUUUAGUUUUUUUUUUAUAUUAGCAUAAGAUACAAAUUUAUUAUACAACUAGUCUUAAUAUGUAAUUAGUAUUUGUGUUUGGUAUAUACUAUUUUUAAAUACUAACUAAAGAAUCUCCUUUAAUUAUUCUUUAUAAAAAAAAAUCCUAUGUAUAGCAAUUCAAGUCUUAGUUUCCUUAUAUUAGCACACAUAUCAGUUUUCACUUCAAUAUUUUUAUAGCAUUAUUAAUGAGUCUAACUUUUAAAUAAUAACUAAUUAAAAUAGUAACUUAAGAAACACUAUAUCAAUAUGCAAAAUAAAAAAAAAAAGACAAGACAAAGAGAAUAAAUCGAACACAAGUAAAAGAAGAUUUAACGAUAGGGUACAAAUUAUCAAUGUGUUAUAUAUAUAUAUAUAUAUAUAUAUAUAUAUAUAUAUAUAUAUAUAUAUAUAUAUGUAUGUAUGUAUAUUUGUAAGUGGGAGGUCUUGUGUAUGUAUAUUUGUAAGUGGGAGGUCCAAGACCUCCCACUUAUAAUCUUUUUCAUCCUAUCCUUUAAUCCAACCCUCUCUCCUCCAAAAAAAAAAAAGGAAAAAAAGGAGUCUUAGUCAAAAUAAAAACCAAAAUUUUUAGCUUCUAUCUCUAUUUGAUCAAGCAUUGAUAUCCGCCAACUCCAUUAAACCACUUCAAGCAUUAACUAUUUUACUGGACUCUAUUUUUAAAGACAAUUUUAUUUUAAAAUAUCACAAAUCCUAGUUAUUAAAUAUUUAAAUAGCUAUUCUUAUUCUAAAUUUAUAACUUAAAAAUUUAUGAUGAGUAUCAGGUUAUAAUAUAUUUGUGUAAUGUUUGCCCCCCUAAAGCAAAAUUCUGAUUCUGCCAUCGCCUACAUGACACUUUUUUUUUUUUAAACGAUAUUAGAGAUAUAUUGAUCAUCAACUGAACUUUACACCUGGAGCAAAAGCCCCUUAUAUCUAUACAAAAAGUGCUUAAUAGCACAGAAAAUUGAUCCAUUGCCUACAUGACUUCACCAUGGUCAUUUACUGCCACAAUUGGUGCCUAGUAUAUGGUAGUUGAAACAGGAGCUAGCCCCGGCGCCGCUGGGCAUUAGGUCGACACAAAGAUGAGUGAGGAAAUUGAGUUGGUUGGCACGAAACGAAUUAUACCUGCAUGAUAUGACACAAGUGACUAGCUAGUGCUGUAUAAUAUGCACUAACUACUUCAUGUUGAAUAUAGCCAUGAUUGAUGAAGGGAAGAUGAUUCUAUCGGUACUUUGUGCUCAAAAUGGGGAUGAGAUAGUGCAGCACAACUGCUAAUGUGAAAUUUCCAAAGGAAUGGUGAGCUCCACUCAAUUCAGAUAAGCCAAGGACAAGAAAGGAGGAGAAAGAAGGACGAAGAAAAGCAUAUAGUUUUGGUCCCUGAUUCUCGUGCAUAAAGGAUAAUUGAUCUAGUUAUUGGACCACAUUAUAACGAAAAUGGGAAAGAAAUAAAAGCAAAUUGAGCACUCCUAGCGUUUGUUGUGUAUGCUAAUAGUGCCUAUGCUACAAAUGCAUUGACUUACUAGAAGAGAAAAAAGAGAGAAAAUGCUCAUGUGGACCUAGACCAAAGUUUCAAUGGAUGUGUUUGUGUCUCUUUAUAUAUAUGCGUACCAAAGCACUCUGAAAAGGGCGGAAACGUGAAUAAGAUUCUCGAUAUGUUUGGAAAAAAUUUAGUGUGCCAAUAAUUCAGCGUGUAACCAACUUCGUCCACACCAAAGUGACCCUAACAAAAACGUUUUAUCAUUUUUAAGGUAUCAUUGCCCCAAAAUUUCAUGCUUUUCUUGUCUAUACAUAGUCAGGAACCCAAGGACUCCAACCAUAUACUGUUACAUCAGAGCCUUGAAACCACCAAAAAAAAGGAAAAAAAAAAAAAGGCCCUGAGAAUUUAUGCAGGAUGGGCACAAUCAAUUAGCCAAUGCUUCGAAAAUGACAUGAGAAGCGAGGUAUAGUUUCCCCAUAACUUCAUUCAGUAAGAAUUGGUUUGUACACCCCAUAUAACUUCACCAUAGCCAUUUACUAUAGCAAUUGAUGCCUGGGAUAUGGUACCAUUGGCUAGGAGCGUGCAAAAUAGAAAAAUUUCGAUUUAUCGGCCGAAUUCGAAUUGAAUUCAGAAUUUUUGAAAUCGGUAAUUCUGAAUUUGGCACUGAAAUCGGAAUUUCUGAUUUCGAAUUCAAAUUUUGAAAUCGGAAAUCGAAAUCGAAAUUUCUGAUUUCAAUUUUGUUUUAUAAUAUAUAUUAAUCUAUAUUUAUAUAUAUAAUAAUAUUUUUUAUUUCAAUUUCGUUUUAUAAAUAUAUAAAAUAAUAAUAAUUUUUUAUUUCAAUUUCAUUUUAUAAUAUAUAUUUAUAUAUAUAGUAAUAUUUUUUUAUAAAAUAUGUAAUAUAAAAUUUAUAUUAUAUAACAAUACAUCUAACAAAAAAGGAAAAAAAAAAGGGAAAAAAAUGUUUUCGAAUUCGGUGAAUUCAGAAUCGAACUCGAAAUCGGAACUGGUGAAUUCGAAAUCGAAAUCGAAAUCGAUCGGUAAUUCUUAUGCCAAAAUUUUUAAAAUUUUUGAAUUCAAACUUUCAAAUUACCGAAUUCGAAUUCAUUGUACACCCCUACCAUUAGCAAUUAGGUCGACACAAAGAUGAGUUUGGAAAUUGAUUGGCAGCAUGAAAAAAAUUACACUAGUGUGAUAUGACACAGUUGACUAGCUAGUGCAGUAUAAUGUACACUAGCUACUUCAAGUUCUUGUUGACUACAUAAAUGAUAAAUGAGGGGAAGAUGAUGGGAUAACGAGUUUGUGCUCGCAAUGAGGAUGAGAUGCUGGGAAAUUGAUGUGUAAUUUCGCAAGGAAGGGUGAGCCCCGCCCGACUAAGAUGAGCCAAAGUACAAGAAAGAAGAGAAAAGAAUAAAAGACGAGGAAGAGCACAGUUUUGGUCCCUGAUUCAUGUACUAUUUUGUCGUGCAUAGAUGAUAAAGUUAGGAUUGUAAUUGAACCGAGUUGCCGGGAAGAGCAUGGUUGUGGUCCCUGAUUCAUGCACUAUUUUGUCGUGCAUAGAUGAUAUUUUGUCGUGCAUAGAUGAUAAUUGGGGCUGUGAUCGAACCAAACUCUAUGAUAAUUAGGGCCGUAAUCGAAUCGAGCUAUUCACGAGCAGUUCGAUCAAAAACUCCCCUCGAAUUUGAAUUGACCAAGUUCGAAUAGCUCAAUGGAUCUAGCAACUAUCGAGUUCUAGUAUUCAAUAACAAGGCUUGUCGAGCUUUAUCAAGUUUUUAAAUUUUAAUUCUUUAAUAUAUUAUUAUUAUAAAAUUAUCCUUGUGCUUACAAGAGUGGUUGAAAUUACGAAAUGUUUCAGGUCAUAUGAAAUUUUUUGAAGGGUAAUAAUAUCUUUUUACUAAAAAAUUGUCAAGAAAAAUGAAAUUCCCAAAUCUUCCUGAGUCAAGAUUGAUAUAUAAAGCUCGCAUUGACUCGAACCCCGUACAAGUCGAGUUUAAGUUCUAUGAGCAUUGCAUCGAGUUUGAACACCACAAAAUAAUGCUACUCACUUGAGCUCGAGUUCGAGUAUCCUUCCUGCAUGUGAAGUCGAACUCGAAUAUGACGAUAUAAAACAAAUUGAGCACUCCUAGCCUUUAUUGGGUAUGCUAUUUAAUGUCUACGCUACAAACGCGGUAAGAUAAAAUACUCAUUAUUAGCUACAUUUGGAUCGGCAGAUCUGACGAAGGAUUUGCAAUCCUCUCAAAUUUCUGUAGGUGCUUAAAUUAUUUAGAAUGCAUUUGAAUUUGUAAAUUAUUAAUUAUUCUAGUGUUUAAAGUGUGUUUAAAUAAUUGGUGAAUUACAAUUCCAAAUUCUUCUUAAACCAUCCAAACAACUAAAGCGAUUUUAGUGGAUUUCAAAUCCUUUGUCAAAUUCUUCAGUCGAAAUGAAGCCUCAUAUAAAACAAAGUUUCAAAUUUCUCUGGAUAGACGUUACUAUACUAAUAUUUAUUUAAAAGCAGAGUAAAAGCCUAAGACAUGAUACAAUGAAGGAUGAAAUUGAUGUAAGCAUUUUCUUUUUUAAGAAAACCAACUAAUAUUCGAACUACUACAUAUAUUAUACUUGUGAACUGCAAAAGCCCCACUAAUGAAUAAUCUCUUCAACACUCUAUUUUAAUCUUUUUUUUUUAAUUUUUUUAAUACUUACAAACAAUUAAAUGCCAUAGCAAUUAAAAACCAACCAAUUUUCAUACCAACAGGUAACGACGGUCAAGAAGGCAAAAGCGAGUAGUCAAACUUGAGCAAUGUGCCAACCAUUUCCGAUGUCGUUUACUUUCCGAGUGCUCUACUUUAAGUUAAAGGAUGUGGGACCCAUGUCGAAAAGGACAAAACCUUUUCGUCUCACGGUUUCCCAUCAUUAAAACCCGGUUGGGUCGUUGACUCAAGACUUUGUUCAUGUGCGUUAAGGAUUCCGGGGCCCACCUAAUUAACGUGCAACCACUCAGAGCCCAGCCCACCCGCUCGCCCAUUUAUUAAUACCGAUGAGGAGCAAUUUUCAAACAAAUCUUCGCAUUUUGCAAAUGAUGAACUAGACGAGUGUCUACUGAUUACAAAUAAAUUAACACACACUUAAUUGUAUUUUAGGCACAAGAUCCAUUGCUUCUGAUCUUGAUGACGCCAAUUUCUCUAUUUUAUUUUAUCUCAUCGGUACAAGAAUCAAAGGUUUCGGCGAUUUGGAAAUGUCUGAUGCAAUUUCUGCCAUUAGUUUAACACGUAUAUUUUUUUCGUACGUAAGUGGAAACUCAAUUGCAACAAAAAAUGAGUUCAUAUCGUGAAAAAAAACAAAAGCUUUUGGUUAGUUAAAUACAUAUGCAGUUAUGUACGGAUGUAACAUCAUAUCUGGUCAAAACAUUUUGUUCAAAUUAGUUGUCUUAAUCCUAUCAUUGACACUUGCUUUGGUUAUAGUUUGUUGUUUGUAGCGUAGCCACGUAAUUGCUUGAUAUUUUACAAAACAAGAGCAUUGUCAAAUUAAAAGUUAGACUAAUAAAUAACCGAGUACCAAAAAGUAGAUAUCACUUUAAUGUAUUCUAUGACGUAAGUGUCGAGCUAACAUAAAGUGUUUUUUUUCUUUUUUUCCUUUAAUUCUCCCGUCUCUUUCUACGCUCUUCUUACCCUCUUUUGCCGGGACCAAAACGCUUAUCAUGAAGUGAUUAAGAAGCCUUUUUCAAGACAUAAAUCAACUCCUUUGAUUAGUUACCCAAUUAAACAUAAGUUCAAGUGUAAACAGAAGAAAUGGGAGUUCAUUAGAAGUCACGGAUUACCUACCAAGGAAAAAGAAUUAUCACGAGUUCAAAUCGGCGCAUGAGAUUUUUUUUUUUUUUUUUUGGUUCUAAUGUGAUCCUAUGAGUAUAAUUCACUAAGUUCAGUCAUGCAAACAAUCACAUCGUUUUUUUAAAUAAAGGGGAAAAAAAAAAAGGAAAGGUUAUAUAACUUGUAACCUGUACCUGUCAAGAGCUAUUAUACAUGCAAUCAAAUGUAUUUUGGAGGAUACCAAGCAACCAUCCCAUAAGAAAAAAUAACAAUAAAAAAAAAGAGAGUGAAACUAAUUGAAUUCUCAGGCAUAUUCUUAUCCAUGCUCAAAAAAGUCUGAUAGUAUAGUCCAUCAAUUCUAGAAUAAUUUCCGUAUUCUGACAUCGGAGAAGUCUAAAGGUGGAUACGUGUACGGAGACGGACACAAUAGGAAAUUUAUAUAAUUUUUUUGUUGAAAUUAGACUAAAGUUGAUAAAUUAUUAAUAUGUCUUCGUACCACGGUUUAUUUUUAUAUUUCUAAAAAAAGAAAUAGUGGUAUUAGAAUGUAAUACGUAGAUAAACGUGUGCUCAUUGAAUAAUAUCUGUUAGAAAAAAAUCAUUGUUUAAAACGAAACAUAUUAAAAAUAAACGAACACAUUAUAUUAGUCAAUUAAUUCGAUUAACAAAACAUCUUUUGAAUAAAAAGGGCUCUCAAUUAUACAUCAAUCACAGGACAGUCAACACACGGGAAAAGGCAGAUCAGAUGAAGAGAAACAAACACGUUUCAUCUGAUUUCAUUACAUGUGGAGCGUUGACCAGACAUCCGUUGAAUGCUGACCACAAAAUACCAUUCACAUUUGCACCCCAAAAACAACGAAAAAAUAACAAAUCAGCCCCUGUUGGGACUCAGAUAUUGCCACGUUGGGUACUUCCGAUUCCAAGCAUUAACUCGUCGAAAUCCUAUUGGUUUCGAACCCAUCUCAUUUUGUGGUUCGAGGUCGCGGACUCGCGGAUAAGAAUACGCUUGACAGAUACCUUGACCAAAAGACUAGAGGAUUCCGUGAUUUUCUUUACUAGUUUUGGAUUUGUUUGUUCAAUGGUACUAAUUAUCGUAAACAUAUAAUAGAUUUCUCAAGUAUUAAUUUUUCGCAAAAUAAAUUUAAAUCACACAUGUAUUUCAAUGCAAAAGGCAUAAUAAAGGUAAAUCAGUGUAUUAAAAUGGAUACCUUGAGCAGGUGACUUGCAUUUUACUUUUGAAUUUCGGAUUUAUGUAAGCUAUUGUCCACUUGACACCUCUUAAUCCAACUUAUUUGAAAAGUCAUUUUUUUCAAAAAAAAUUUAUAUUUUUCAUAAACAUACGUAGGGGUGUUCACGAAUCGAGCCGCUCGCGAGCGGCUCGAAUACGAGCUCGUCAAUAUCGAGUUCGAGCUAAUUAAAUCGAUUUCGACCUCAAGCUCGAGCUAAAAAACAUUAACCUCAUUGACUCGCGAGCUCAAUUAUAUAUAUAUAUAUAUAUUAUUUUUUAUUUUAAUAGCAAAAUUACAUAUAUAUCCCUAAUAUUUUAUUAUUUAUUAAAAAAUUUAUUAUUUUAUUCAUUUUUAAAAAUAAAUAAUUAUUUUUUUAAAAAAUAAAAUAAUAAUAAUUAUUUUUUUUAUUUUUUAAGAACUCGAGCUCGACUUGAAUUUGAGUCGAGCUCGAGCUCGAGCUUGAUAUUUUGAGCUCGUCGAGCUCGAGCUCGAGUUUCACAAAAUUAACUCGAGUUCGGCUCGAUUAGUCAAAGCUCGACUCGAGCUCGGCUCGUUUGCACCCCUAAACAUAUGUUUGAAUUAUCUUUGUAUCUUAUAUAUAUCAAAUUGCUAAAGUAUAUUUUUCUACAUAAAUUUUAGAAAAUAGCAAUUUAAAAGGAAAAUUUUUUAAAUAUUAAUGUUUUGAAAAAUAGCUCCCCGUGGAUUGGAUCAAAAACAGUUUUAGUUUGCAGAUUUUGUAGUACCAACUCCAAAAAAUAACUCAAAAAAUGCAUACAAUAAUGUCAAAUACAAUUUACGGAAAAAAUAAAAUAAUUACCCAAUACUAUAAUAUUUUCAUCUUCCACCACAAUUACCUGCUACACCGCCAUCACCUUUCCCCUCCUUCUUCCGGAAAAAUCCCCAAGAACACUUAAUUCACCCGGAGUCUCUGUAUCUACUGCGAAAGAGGUGAUAAAUAUUAGUGCAUUAAAAAAUAAAUACGAUAUAUUUUAGAUGCAUAGAUAAUUAUGAGUUUUUAUUUUUAUAAUAUUUUUCGGGUCAUGCCUGAUAAGACUUCACUUAUUUACUGCAGUUAAAGCGGAACCAUCCACAGCCACGCAGUUAAACCAACCCCCCACGCCGCUCCGUACCCUACCGCCUGCCCAUGCCCCCUUCCUACGGGUUGCUCGUUCUCUUUAGACUAUAUAAAUCCAUAAUCUCUCCUAGACUGCAAUCCUCGUAUACAGAUACAGCUCUAAUUGAGCUUUUCUUCUGCUCUCUUUUAUUGCCAUUUUCCAUCGUUAGUGUGUCUUUAGUCCAAGGCUAUACUACCUCAUAAAUGCAAGAACAUUUUUCCUUCUUUGGCUGGAUUUCUUAGACAUUACAUCCCAUAAGUUUCUAUCAAACCGAGUGUAUAUCACAGCCCCAUAGCUAUUCCACCUUUGACGGUGCAUUUUUCUGAAACUCUAGCCGAGUUCUUUAAAGGUCAGUUGCUCUAUUCUUUCCUUUUUUAAGUCGGGAUUUUUGUUAUCCAAGAUUUGCAGUGCAGAGAACUUGCCAUGCAUGUGGUUCACACACUGGUUGCCACGAUUUUUUUAGUUAGUAAUUUGUAUAUGGACUGAAGCAAAAUGGUAAUACCAGUUCUAUCCAUUAUUUUAGCUGCAAAAACGUUUAGACAAAUUUUUUUUUUUUUGAGUUUAAGUUUUAAGAGAAGAAGGAAAAUGAAACCGGUUAAGGGACUGGCAAUAUUUUUAAGGUGGAAUUCGACUUGGGACUUUAUGAAAGUUUAUAUUUAAUUCCAUAGAUGAGUUUUGUGGUCUACAUAUAUGCUGAAAACCAACCUUCACUGCAUAUUCAAUUAUGCACUUUCUUCUUCUUCUUCUUCUUUUUUAUUUAGUUUCAUCAUUUCACUUCAUCACUGAUAUUGACAAGCUAAAACGGAUGAUGGAGUUUGUAAUUCCACCAUCCAUUUUCAAUCCAUAUAGCAGCCUUGUCUCUUGGACACUUGUUAAUUUGAUUUUUCACAUUUAUUCUUCUUCCUAUGGGGUCUACUGGAUAGAGGCCAGAGAGAGGGGGAUUGUGGGGUUGGUGGGAAGUUUGCUUUUUUCUUUUCCUUCAAGAGUGUGGUCUUGCAGAUUCAAAGAAUCGUAAUUUCUUGUACUUUUAAACACUUCAGAAUCUUUUCUCCUGUAUAUAUCAACCCAUAAAAACGCGUGAUUCUAUUAUUUUUGUUCGAUUAAGUUUUUUGUAGCCUUUUGGUUUCACUUUUUAGAACCACUACUAUUUUGUCCGCUUAGUCCUGGUUCACAUGCUCUGUUUCUAAUGUUGAGAAGCUCAUUUUUUUUUUUAUCCCCUUCCUGCAGAAUUGGAGAUUUUUUAUGGAAAUUAUACUUAAACACCAUGUUAGUGAUUCCUUUUCGAUUAAUUACGUAGCAACUUUUCUUUUAAAGAACUUUUAAAAGUGGUUAAGAAGGAUACUGUGCUGGAAAGUUCAACGGGGUAGAACUUUCCUGUUGAAAUUAUGCACCAGAUAGUAACCACCCGAUAAUUAAACAAAGGGAAUUCUGCCUGGGAGAGCCUCUCCGAACCCUACGGCUAUUUAGUUUUUUAUAGCUAAUGUGUUUGGGCUUUUUUCUUUUCAUUUUUCUUGUUGCAGAUUUAGUGGGAAGGGGGUGUACUCUAGAGUCUAGACCAAGAGCCAUUAACACUGUACCAUGUUAGACUGGCAGUGGGGUAUAAUCAAAUUUUCUAUAGAUAAUUAUAUGACACAAGUUUUAAUGUACACAAAUAAUUGGCGCAAGUUUCUUGAAUCUAAGCUUUAUGUUGGGUUCAGAUGGUAUCGUUGAAUUGUCAAAUUAAGUGCUACUACAUCUUAGUGGCCAUCACAAUUCACAAAGGUGACAAAUUGGGCCACCAACUUUGAAAAUUCUUGCAUGCAUAGGAAGUGUCAAAACCGUGGCAAAGAAAAAAGGGCAUGCCUGUAUUUGUUUUUAUUUCAGACAUGUCUACCUACCCAACUUGUUACACUAAUGAAACCACAAGUUUGCCCCACAGCUGAAUAUAUAUAGUUUUUCUGGCCCUUAUCAUGGAUGAGAUGUCAUAAUUUGUAAGUCACAAGAAACUCUUUGAUUUAUGGUGCGAGAUGUUCUAAUUCUUGUUCUUUUAUGUGCCAUCUUACAGGAUAUAAGAGUUUCAGAAAUUACUAGCAGCAUAAAAGUUUUUAGUGAAGCAAGUUGAGUAAUCAUGCCUCAGCAACAAUUGCAGGUGCUUAAUGCACUUGAUGCUGCCAAAACACAAUGGUACCAUUUUACUGCUAUUGUGAUUGCUGGCAUGGGCUUCUUCACUGAUGCCUAUGAUCUCUUCUGCAUCUCUUUAGUCACCAAAUUGCUCGGCCGGAUUUAUUAUCAUGUCCCUAAUGCACCCAAGCCUGGCACUCUGCCUCCAAAUGUUUCAGCUGCUGUCAAUGGUGUUGCCUUUUGUGGCACCCUUGCUGGCCAAUUGUUCUUCGGUUGGCUUGGUGACAAGAUGGGGAGAAAAAGAGUCUAUGGCAUGACCCUCAUGCUCAUGGUUAUUGCCUCAAUUGCAUCCGGCCUUUCCUUUGGGGAUAAACCAAAGGCUGUUAUGGCCACUCUUUGCUUCUUCCGCUUCUGGCUAGGAUUCGGUAUUGGUGGUGAUUACCCCCUUUCUGCCACAAUCAUGUCUGAGUAUGCUAACAAGAAGACCAGAGGAGCCUUUAUUGCUGCAGUGUUUGCUAUGCAAGGUUUUGGAAUUCUAGCUGGUGGGAUGGUGGCAAUUAUUGUUUCUGCUGCCUUCAAGGCUGGAUUUCCUGCUCCUGCAUAUAAAGAUGAUGCUCUUGGUUCAACUGUGUCUGAAGCUGAUUAUGUUUGGCGCAUAAUUGUUAUGUUUGGUGCAAUUCCAGCUGCUCUUACGUACUAUUGGCGAAUGAAAAUGCCUGAAACUGCCCGUUACACGGCCUUAGUUGCAAAAAAUGCCAAACAGGCUGCUAAUGAUAUGUCCAAGGUAUUGCAAGUUGAACUCGAGGCAGAACCAGACAAGGUUGAGAAGCAUGUUCAGGCGCCUGGAAAUGAUUUUGGUUUGUGGAGUAAGAAGUUCCUUAAGCGCCAUGGACUUCAUUUGCUAGGAACAACUACCACAUGGUUCUUGUUGGAUAUUGCAUUUUACAGUCAGAAUCUUUUUCAGAAGGACAUCUUCAGUGCCAUUGGUUGGAUCCCACCGGCCCAAACAAUGAGUGCUAUUGAAGAAGUUUACAGAAUUGCAAGGGCUCAAACUCUUAUUGCUCUCUGCAGUACUGUCCCGGGAUACUGGUUCACAGUAGCACUGAUCGACAAAAUAGGACGAUUUGCCAUUCAAUUGAUGGGAUUUUUCUUUAUGACUGUGUUUAUGUUUGCCCUAGCUCUUCCUUAUAAUCACUGGACUCACAGGGACAACAGGAUUGGCUUUGUGAUCAUGUACUCACUGACCUUCUUCUUUGCAAAUUUCGGUCCUAAUGCAACAACAUUUGUUGUUCCAGCAGAAAUUUUCCCAGCAAGGUUAAGGUCCACGUGCCACGGUAUAUCGGCAGCUGCUGGGAAGGCAGGAGCUAUUGUCGGAGCAUUCGGAUUUCUGUAUGCUGCUCAAUCCACUGAUCCAAAAAAGACUGAUGCUGGCUAUCCUCCUGGUAUUGGUGUGAAGAACUCCCUUAUUGUUUUGGGCUGUGUUAACGCCCUCGGAAUGAUGUUCACAUUCUUGGUGCCUGAGUCUAAAGGAAAAUCUUUGGAAGAGAUCUCUGGAGAGAUUGAUGAAGAAAAUGAGACUGCAACUGAUACGAGACUGCAAGGAGCGAGUGAUAAUAGAACAGUUCCAUUUUGAAAUAAAUUAUUUUAAGCAUGGUUUCGUGCUUGUAUCUUCAGAGCUUAAGAUUCAGAUUUCUAAGCUCUCUAGCCUUAGUGCUCAUCUUAAGAUGAAAUAUGGAUAAGUUUCUUUUUCCUUUUCUUUUUUCCUAAUCUCCUAUAGCUGUAUUACUCUCUUGUAUAAUAAGAAUAGUUCAAUGCCUAAAUUCGAGUUGCCAUAGUAAGUGUGAGUUGUGAACAAAAAUAGAUGCUCUUAUAAAAGAAGACUCUUUUGUGUUUAAUUAAUUAUAGCCUACAGUAGUUUUCUUCCUUUCCCUUUUUUUUUUUUUGAAAAAUUUUUUUUCUUCCUUACCUUCUGUCUUCUACUUCUGCUCUUGUCAUGUUUGGUAUCAUUUGUUAAUAGUGAAAUUUCAUUUCAAGGAACCAGUAAAAAAAUUGGGCUUUUUAACCAUAGAAAAUUUUGUAAUAUGAUGCAACGAGGGCAAAGGUCAUUUAAUCAUUGCACAGGUAUGAUGAUAUUUCCUUAAUAUUUGCUAUUUGUACAACUAGUAAUAUUUCACGUGCUGUAUAUGUGAUUCUAUUACGCUAUUUAACACCAUAUGAUUACUAUAUUGUUUAACAUUCUUUUUUGUUAUUAUGAACAACCAUAAUAUCCUACUUUAAUAAUAGUGCUACAUGUGGCCACUAAAUCAUUUAUUUUACAUUCAUUAUUUGUAUCCAAUUUAUUUUGGCAAAUCAUCUAAUCAUAUACUAUGUCAAUAUUCCCUUCUAUGACAUUUGAAUUGAAUUUUUCAAUUUUUUGGAUGAUAUUUUGUCAUUCUUUAUGCCAAUUUAUGAUUUUUCCCUUUUUUUUUGGGGGUAAAAUAAAAAGUCUUUUGCUUAUUACGUAAAGAAGUCUCGUCACAUUCAUCAAAUUCACGAAGUCAGAACUACGGUUAAACACUUUAAAUUGAUCAAUAUUUAACUCUAAUCACGCACAUAAACAAAGAAUUAGAUAGCUCUGAAAAAGAAUAAAAGUAUUUAAAAAAUUGUGAAAAAUUUAUAGAAACAAAAAUAAAAGGACAAAGAAUAGAAUGCUUAUUUAUGCACACGGACACAUCCAUCUAAAGAAAGCAUGCCAUAACUUUUCUGAUGGAAAUCCACAUUCACCUUGUACAAUAAUCUUAUUGAACAAUUUGAAAUUACGAGAAUAUUGAUGAAGUCGCCCUCAGGGGCUUGGUCUGGUGGUUGAGGUUGCUGAAGAUGGAGUCUCAGGUCCCUGGUUCGAACCUUGCUGCCAGCAAGUUGCUGAGGGUGGUGAAUAGUCUGCGGGGUCUACUCCCUGCGGGACACACCUAAAAAAAAAAAAAAAAAAAGAGAAUAUUGAUGAAGUCGAAAUAAUAGAUAAACAGUAGUAGAUGAUAUUAUCGGAGAAAUUAAUUCAUCCAUGGGAUCCAUAUAUAUGGAUCAGUUAAGUUGGCAAAAGUGAGUAGCAGUGGUUAUGAUCGGAAUAGUUAGAGAAGUUGUGAGGAAUUUUCCAAGGAUAUUGUUGCUUAUUGGACAAAUAGGGAGUUUGCGAACGUGAGUUUCUUAUCUCAAACUGCAUUAAAACAUUGCAAAUUGCAAUUCUCAUUUUUUGGUUGCUUUGACAAGAUAUUCCCAUUUCGGUUUGAAGCUGUACAAAGUAAAAAGGAAAAAGAAUUGCCGGAAUAAAGAUCGAAACUAAAAAAUCAAAAUGCAUUGCUGUCCAUACUUAUAUUAUUUAUUGAUAAAGGGAUUUUAAUUAUGGUUAAUGCCAUAAAAAUUAAAGAGAUACUGAUUAUACACAAAUAAAAAUAAAUUUUCUAUUAAGGUCCUUUUGUAUUUAACAUAGCACUAUGUCCAUAUAUAAAUUAGUUAAAUUUUUAGGCCCCUAAAACAAAAGUAGAAUAUCUAUACGAAAAAAGAAUUAACCAAAUUAGAGUAAAAGCAAGACAUAUGCGAAGAAUUGACUACGAAAAAUAAAACUUUUAAAAUAUUGUAUCAUGGCUCUUAAAUGUUUUAAAAUUAAUUAAUGAGCUUCCCUUGCAAUUCUGAUUAUAUCUACAUGGCACAUACAAAAUAUACUUACCUGAUAAUAAAAGUGGUUUGAAAUACAUAAUAAUUAUUGAAAUAUCAAAUUAAGAUUUAUAGUUAACAAUAAGGGAAAAAAUUGGAAACCUCUACCAAAAUUUUAUUUAGUGAUAUUUUGAAAACCUACACAUAUAUUUAAUUAGUGGACAUAAAUGUACUUUAACAUGAGUUAAAAAUAUAUGUAUUACCAAAUAAAUAAAGAAUGAUUAUAAUACAUAUAUUUUUCACAAAUAAAUUUUAUGCCAAAUAGAGGAAGGGAUAGAUUGGGUGGCAUGAUGAAGGAAUGUAAAUGAGAGAUUAUACUUUAGUCCUCCACAGCAAACUCCAAGUCAAGAAGAAUGAUUAUUUAUUUUAGGAAAAAUCUGAUGCUUAAUGUUCAAAUCCUAGUCAUUUAGUAUGGUUUUGAUGGUUGAUAAUUGUAAUUAAUUAGCAUAUAUAUAGAAAAAUAUAUAUGAAAAAAAGAACUAUUUUGGUGCUUACUGUCAAACAAGAACAUAGCAAGCUAUCAUCAAGAAAAAGAAUAACAAGAAUAACUAAAUCAGCAGAUAAAGGGGUGCUUCUUCUCUGCCAUAUUUUCUCUCUGCACUAUAUCAUUAGUGAUCAGGCAUCCAGGGGCUAAUUCCUUAGAAUAUUUGUAUUUAAAAAAAACAACCAUCAAAUACACCUCUGACAUGGGUGUUUCUCAUUGUAUAGCUGCCGUGCUGAUUCAGCACGGCCGCAUAAUUAAAUAUUCCACCUAAAUCUUGUCUGCAAAAAAUUCAGUGGUGCAGAGGGUGUCAGUGCGGACGUGCUGAUUGGGCACGUCCGCAGCUGAAAUAGCUGUCUGCUCAUGUGUCAGACGCGGACGUGCUGACUGUGCACGUCCGCGGCUGACCAAAGUGACUCAACUCUGCGCAUGUGUCAGACGGAUGCAAAUGCUAUGAAACUGUGAUCAAUAUCAAUGCAAAUGAUGUAAGCAUUUCGAAGAAUGCUCAGACACUUCAUCCUUCCUUUCUUUCUUUUUUUGUUCUUAAUAAAAUGACAACAAAAAAGCUGCAAAAUAUUUUUGGAGACAAAAAAGUGCCCAUCUAUGUAUUUAAUGGUAGUAAAUUUCUUUAUUUUAUCACUUAAUUUUUCCUACUCUUAAAUUAGUCUUGGAUUAUAAUGCAACUAGUGAUAGAAGAGAAUCUUAACAACCAUGAUCAAUUGUUUAGUAGUUCUUCAGUAAAGUACUAAACUUUAUUAUUAUUAUUAUUAUUAUUAUUAUUUUUUUGAAAUUGUGUAUUACUUUAGGAUUUAUUAAACAAUGUUAGAGUUUUUUUUUAAAAUUAAAAAAAGAUUUCUACAAAAGUAACACAAAGUUAUCGUUAAAUUAUACCUUGAGCGUAUUUUGGCAUUUAAAAAAUUAGAAAAAUCUAUGGAGUGAGUGUUUAUGUCAUUUAACUCUUUUUAAAAUGCGAAGAAUAUCAUUGACCAUUAACAAACUUCUGUACAGCCCAAAUAAAAUGAUCGAAUACGAAUAUUAAUUACUUUCCCAAAAUGUUGCACUAAAUAUAUAUAUAUGUAUAUAUAUAUAUAUAUAUAUUUAUAUAUGAUAUAAGUGAUCUCCAGAACAAGUGCAAAGUGGCCCUGGAAAAGUAUAUAGAAGCCUCAUCAUGACAUUCCACUCUGAAGCAAUAAGCAUUCAUCUUAAAACUAUUUUUUUUAGCAUGUGUCAGACGCGGACGGGUUGACUGGGCACGUCCGCGUCUGACACAACAGACCAGCACUGAUUUUGUGUCUCCCGGGGACGUGCCCAGUCAGCACGUCCCCGUGUGACACAUGCGCAGACUUGGAGUCAGCUUUUUCAGCCGCGGACGUGCCCAGUCAGCACGUCCGCGCUGACACCUCUGCACCACUGAAUUUUUUGCAGACAAGAUUUCGGUGGAAUAUUUAAUUAUGCGGCCGUGCUGACUCACCGCCGCUAUAGAAUGAGAAAGACCCAUGUCAGAGGUGUAUUUGACGGUUGUUUUUUUUAAAUACAAAUAUUCUAAGGAAUUAGCCGCAUCGAGGAGGCCUGGACCAGAAUCAUGAGAAAUUGUACUGACCGCCACUAAAGAAGACAGACUUAAUAAAAAAAAUCUCCAUCCUCCACUGUGUGUUGAAUUAUUUAAAGAUAAAUCUCUAGAGAAAGUUAAUCCUUGAUUCUUGUUAUAGCUUUAAAGAUAAAUCUCCUACCAUUGUUUUUGUAACGCCUGGUGGCCUAGCCAAAACUAGGUUAAGCAAGGAAAGGUUAGUCACAUAUUAAAACAAAGUCAAUUGGUUUGGAAGUGUAUUACCGUUCAAAUCACCAUGUCAACUUUGUUAUUCCUAACUCGAGAGAGUUGAUGCAGCAUGGCUUGUAGAAGGAUAUAAAAAUUGAUUGGCAAGAAGAGUAAAAUCCCAAGUAGAGGAUGAAAACAACAUAAGUAGAUAUAACUGAUUGAUGAACUUUUGUGAACAAAUUCAGAUAAUCCUUUACGAGCUCUGAUCAUCAUUCAACAUUCACACUGCAAAGAUCAAGAUUUAUCAAGUCUCAUCUAGGCUUCGGCUCUUUAACUCGAGCUCCAAAAUAUUAAGCCUAUGCUUUUUGCAACAUUUAUAGAAGAAAGCAGACCUAAUAAGUAGACAGGUAGAUGGGAAUUUAGACAACGAGGUGCCUGUACAGUUUGAGAUUAUACAUAGGUCGGGGGAUAUAGAAGUUUCAACUUAUAACAGCCACUGGUCUAGCUUCUUCAACAGCCACGGGUCUGAUUUCACCACCUCCUUCCCCUGUCAUCCAUGGAUGCCCUGAAGUAACAGAUCAGAGGAUCGAAAUUCCAGUUAAUUUAUACCAAAAGUUUAUAAUAUAUGGAAUUUCUAGACCAUAAAUUAAUCUUUGCAUUUCAGAGAUAUCAAGAUAAGGAGUAAGAAUUGACAUGGUAAUUUAAGUUGAUCUGAAAGGCCUGUUAAGUUCAUUUUUGGAACACUCAAAAAUCCAACCUCAGAAUGUUUAAACUCAUACUAAAACUCCGUAAUGUUAUAGUCUCUCUUUUCCUCUGCUUAAAAGGACAACAAAUUAUGCAUAGAUUAUUGUAGAAAAAUAGUAACUGUUAUCAAUAGAAAAGGUCAGUGUCAAGAUCCAUAUUCAAGGAACAGAAGAGAUGAUCACUAUUGUGUCUAUAGACUACAGCAUCAAUCUUUCAUCUGCUCCCCCCCCUCUUCCAUCCAUCCCACAAUUAAGAAACAAAACUAAGAUGCAGUGUUGCUGAGAUAUAUAACAAGAAACAACAUUAUCAAAAGAUACUAGAAGAUGUUCCAUUGACAAGUUCAUGACUGGAGGUGAAAUAAAAAUUAUGUACAUAGAACAAGAUCAUAUUUCCUACAUGAAUUAAACGAGAACAUUCAGAUUAAAAUCAGCACAUCUAUACUUACUGAGUACUUGCUCAGCGGAAAAUCUUCUGAUGACAUCUUUACUAAGCAUUCUUCUAAGCAAAUCCUUGACUUCUGGAGACAGUGAAUUGAACACCCUCGUAGGAAACCUCACAUUUGCCCUGAGCACAGCCUCAAAAAUCUCUGGGGCUGAAUCACCAUAGAAUGGUGGAAAUCCAGCCAGCAUUAUGUACAAGAUCACACCAGCACUCCACACAUCGACCUUUUCAUCAUAAUGUCUACCAGCUACUACCUCAGGGGCCACAUAAUAAGGAGUCCCCACUACUCCAGAUAUUAGUUGUCCAUCAUCAAUGAAUUCUGCUGAGCCAAAAUCAGCUAGCUUAAGUUCAUUCCAGUCAUUAAAUAGUACAUUAUCAGGCUUGAUGUCGCGAUGGACUAUCCCUAAGUGGUGACAAUGUGCUAUUGUCUCCAUCAAUGGUCUCUGUAGAUGAUUAGAAAAUGGCCAUGAAAAUAUAAGUUUGCUGAUGAAAAUAGUAAAAUGAACAGCAUUAGCAUAGUUGACGUUGUUUGGGUAGCAUUGACAAAAUAAAGGAGAAAAAAAUUUGUUCCUAUGUGAACGGUCAUGCUCCGUGCAAAAUCAGAUCCAGAAACAAUGCUAUAUGACCUCAUUUAAAGCCAAAGAAGAAGAAGUAAUAAAGAAGACAUUGUUAAACAAUGGAAGCGUUAAUAUUCAACAUUGCACAUUAGGUCACAGGUAUUUUAUGCCAUUUUUAACAAAUGAUCGACUGAACAAAUUAUUAAUCCUCUAAUUCAUUGAGUAAGAGACAAUCAGAGAUUUUCGAGUCCAAUUGCUGAAAUUAUCAAGGAAACGAUAUUAUCAAUUGCUGAAAUUAUCAAGGAAACGAUAUUUUAUGCUUGUUUUUCAUGCAUUUAGUGUCAUACCCUCCAGACCAAAAUUCAGAGAUGAUAAAGUAAAGAAACUCAAAGUAAAAUUCUUGGUUUUUCAAAACUUGCCCUGGGAGGAAAGGGAAAAAGAAUGGCGCUUUGGGAGAUUUCCCGUACAAAAAACAGAGGAAAACAAGACAAAGUGCCUGCAGAAAGGUAUUUUUAGUUUCCAAAGAUCUGCAGAGGAAAGUGUAAUUCUUGGUUUUGACGAAACCUUUUCCACUCAGUAAAAUCAAAGUUAAAGUGCAAAUCCAAAAAAUACCAAUCAACCUAGUGGGAAAAAUAAAAUCAGCUCCAUGAAAAUAGCUUAUGCACAAAAACUAGAACGAAGAGAACUUUUUGCCCUCGUGACUUCAUCUAAAACUACAUGGACCAGAAUGGUUUAAAACAACCAAAUCCUAAUAACAACAAUUCUUCUAUCAACUUAGACAAUUUUAAACAAAAUACAUUUUCCAUCCAAAAAAUAACCCUCAAGAAUAAUGUGAUAACAGCAACAUACCAUAACAACGAUGGCUUCAGCUUCAGAAAAAACUGUCCUUGCAGCAAUCCUUUGGUAAAGAUCAGAACCAUUGCAAAGCUCAAGGACAAUGUGCAGGAAACACUCAUCCUCGUAAACAUGGAAAAUCCUUAAAACAUGUGGAUUAGGUGACAACAACUGCAUAACCUUAGCUUCGUUGUACAGGCAUUGUCUAUCCACAGAAUCAUCAGCUAUUAGUCUCUUAUCAAUGGAUUUUACAGCAAAGGGCUCCCCAGAAUUUGACGAAUAAGCCUUGAAAACCACCCCAAAUCUUCCCUUUCCUAGCUCCUCGCUCACUCUGUAGUCUCUGUUCAAUGCCUCGCUCAUUAGUGUUUUUCUCUUUUUAUUACUGUCUGCAGUCUUUUUCUUUUUUUCUUCACUUCUUUUAUCUGAACUUAGGCUUCGGUUUUGUCAAGGUUAGGGUACUUUGAGGUUGUUAUACAGUUGAAGAGUUGUCGAGGGAAAAGGGAAUUUUGUGGAGGGAAUAUUCCAUUUCUGGGUCCUGCCGCCAAUGGAAGAAGGCCACGUAGCAGUGUAGCACGGAUAAAGUAACGGUUUCAGUUUGAAUUGGAUUUUGAUGUAGCGUUUUGCUUUGGAAGGGAAACAAGAUUUGCUUAGGAUUAGGAUUAGGGUUCUAUUUUUUGGUAUCUUAAAUAUUGAAAAACGGAUUCAUUACUUUUUUGAAUUAAUCCAAUAUCCUUCUUAUCAGCUAAUUGUGUUUAAUUGUGGAUAAUCUUUCCUUUUUCUUUUUAAACUAAAUCAAGGACAAUGAAUGAUAGGAGAAUUGGAAAAUUAGUAACAGUAGAUAUUUAUAUAAGAUUUGUAUUCCCAAUGGGUGUUAAUGGAUAUUUCUUAACACACCUAAAUUCCGCUUCACAUAUUCCAUAUAUAUAUACACACACACAUGUACACACACUAACAUUAUUACUUUUCGUAGUAUUUAUAUAAUUUUCUUAAUUAAUCUACAUUUCUAAAAGUACAUUUUGACAACUUAACGAAUGCCCAAUAAGCAUAUGUUAAACGGACCCUGUAAUAUAAUUCUAGAAUCGUGAUUCAUUGUCUCGAUUUAUCUUGAUUUUUUUUUUUUUAAAUACCAUAGAUCAUACCAUAGAGGGGGCUUCAUCUAGAGAGGAGAAACUCAUCACCAGGAGAUGUAUGGUGUCUAAUGUGCGGUAGGGUAAAAUAUCACAUUCAAUAAUGUUCUGAGAUGUAAAUAGAUUCAUCAACUAAUUUGUUAUAGUCUAAAUGAACAUAUAGUCUUGGAAGGAAUUAAGGCAAGUAACACAUUCAAACUCUGGGACAGAACAGAGGGUAGAUGUAACAGAUAAAUGAGGAACAGAUUUUGUGGCGAUAGAAAUGGUAAAAUGGAAUUGAAGUAUCUGAAUAUUAAAUGUGCGGUUGAUUAAGGCCCUCCACAACAGCGACAACCACUCCCGUAUAAAGGCACAAGGCCUAGUUGGUCGACUGGUGUUUUAAGUCCUUUAUUCAUGCACUGGACUUACAACAAAUGUACUUUUCCUAGGGUAAUUGCUUUCCAGUUCAUAACACACUUCACAAUUAUUUUUCAUCAUGCUGAAAAUUGAGAGAAAAAAAAAUUUGAUUUACUAAUAAUCAUUAUGAUUCCGUUUCUCUAGUGUUCUAAAAAAUUCUAAAUAAGGGUACAUUUUCAAAAAAAAAAAAAAUGACAUUAUUGAAAAAAAAAACUCGAUAACAAAUAUGUGACUUAAAAUUUUCACUUGAAAUUGUUUGUUUUGAAUUUUGUCUUUGUCCCGUCUAUCCCAUACCUAUUUAAUUACCAUGUAUAUUGAUUAAUAACCAUUGGGAUUUUGUUGUGGAUAAAUUCAACAAUCAAUAGCCCUUAGGAUUCUAUUGAAGGUUAAGUCGAGACAGAUCAUUUGAAGCGAAAAUUUUGAAUCUUGAUGUAUUUCUCUUACUCUCUCUCUCCUUGAAUAGAUUUUAUAAAGAUUUGAUGGUUAAAACAUACAAUAGCACUUUACACCUUAAAUUUCAAACAAAUUUAAAAAAAUUUGAAAUCUUGCCAAAUCUCUAACUCCUAUGUGAGCUUCAACAUUACAAUAGGCAGAACAAAAACUGUGUAGGAAAUUUAAAAAAAAAAAAGAAUUAAUCUUCUAUAAACUCACCGUUUUUAUGAAAUGCAUGAAUCUAAGUUUACGCUUUUACAUUAUCACCAUUAAAUGCAUAAAUUCGAAUUUAACACGUGUUAUGCAUUCAACUAAACUAUGAUAGUGAUUAAUUCUUAAAAAAAAUAAUAAUAACAAGAACCUUCUAUGAUUUAGCCACUUCUGUUCCUUCUUUGUAAUUGAUAAGGUCCAGUUUUGGUGCACGAAGUUCCUGUUCUACUUUCAACCCUCGUCAAUAGUCACUAAAUUAGCAUUAUAUGAGGGGAAAAAAGAGUAACUCAUAAGUAAAUAUGUAGAUUCCUGGUUCUCCUUCUUACUUUAAAAACAAAUUGCAGUAAUUGCUGUUUGGAUGUACAUUUAAGAAAAGAUCAUGCUUGAAGAGUACAUUUAGUGCGAUUUUUCAUCAUCAUCUUUCUUUCUUUUUGGUACGAGUGCAUGAUCCACCUACCUGCCUUACAUAUUAUUGUUUCAUGUUUUCAAUGCCGUCCACUACUUUUUAUCAAGGAUGAUAGUAAACACCAGACCCUAACAAAUGAAAAGCUAAAAUGAUCUGUCCCACGAAUGAAUAGCAAAACUUUUGAAGCAUUACUUAACAGACAAGAAAAAAAUCCACAUCAGAAGCAGCUGCAGCUGAUGAAGACAACUUGAAUCUUUAAAAGAUUUUGUCAUAAAGUUUUAGCCCUUCCAGUGUUGAAGAGGUUUUGCUAUGGACAAUCUCACAUAAUUGUGAGUCUCAGAGUGAGGCUGAUAUGGGUUUUUCUAUAUAUAUAUAUAUAUUAGAUACAGGCUAUGUGUAGACCUGGUAUAUAUCAAGAUUUCUGUAGAGUCUCGUGCCUCAAUCCUCUCUUGCUGACUUUUCGACGAAGGGAAGGGGUUUUAUCUGAAGUUUUGGCUCUUUACAAAUCGACAUAUGCGUUGAGAGUACGGACGACAUUAGAUACAAUGCAAGAGACAGCCACAUAAAGAUGAAAAUGACGACUGAUUAAGCUAUGUUGUUCUUACAUAUGCUACAAAUCAGAUUGCCAACCAUGCAUAUUAUGGUCCGGAAAGAAAAGCUACUUCAUAAUGAAUUCAUAGUAUGUAUAUCUUGUGUAGCUGCUUGAUUCGACAGAAUAUCGGUACAGAAACACGAAAAUGAUAGCAUUCAUGAAGAUGGUUUAUACUUGUAAUGUGCAAGAAGUUGUUUCUGCUUCCAACAGAAUGAUUAGCCAAAUAAAUUGCAUCUUACAUUCUGCAUUUCGAUUACUUUCUGAAGUGAUACAAGGACGUUUGCUUUUGUUGGAGCCUUGUAUCAAAUUUGAAACAACACAGAUCAGAACUUGCCAUCACAAACACUUAUGAUUUCAUGAAAGAAUAGCAAGCAGAAUAACUUACUCUAUUCUAGAUAACUAUCAGAUUUCGUUAUUAUAUAACACUAUGAUAGAGUAUGGUGACUCAAUAUUGUAGUUUGAGAUUUCUUACUUCUAUUCUAGGCCAAACUUUAUGAAAGUUCUCAAUGAGACUCAGCCAUAAAACGAAUACCUUCUUGAAGAUUCAAGCGGAGUCAGUAGAGAAGAGGAGUUAAUUCCAUUUUGCACCAUUCAACUAUGCUUCAAUUUCCACUUUAGUCCCAAAACUAUGUAAAACAUCCCACUUAAGUACAAUCGUUAACAGAAUCCCCAAAAGUAAUGAAAUAUUAGCAACUUGAGCGGCAGGGUUGCAUGUUACAAGAGCAUAAAAGGAAAAUUAGAUUAACCAAUAACCUAAAAAAAUCCCGAAAUUAGAAAAUAACAAAGGAGUUUAGAGAACAAAGGGGAAAUCGGGAUAAAGUUUAGGGACUAAGGUUUCCUAGUUUAUAGUUUAGGAAACAAAGUAGGAGUCAGGGUAAAGUUUAGGAACUAAAAUAUCCUAGUUUAGAGUUCAGGGACCAUAGUAAGAGCUAGGAUAUAGUUGAAAAGUGAAAAAUAAAAUUAACCCAGAGAAAGAACAUAUAAACAAAUUUAGGAAACGUGUCAAUUCUAAAGAAAGGAAAUACAAGAAUCAAACUCUACCCCGCUCAUUUGUUUCUUCUGGCCGGCAAGCAGCCUCGUAGGUGAUGAUAAUACUAGUAGUACUCAGCAAUAUUCCAGUAGACAGCUAGAUAGUUCAUAAUAAUGCUUUUCUGCCGAUUGUUCUUGAGACUAUUCCACCUGAAAAAUGUCUAUUAAAGAGCACGUACGUAUACAAAUCAAAGCAAAUUCUUCUGGUUUUGUACUGUAUACGUUGUAACGUUACUAUGUUUUAAUAAUGCGUGAGAUAUCUGUGAUAGAGUUUCUAUUAUUUUAUGUUAUCUAACUGCUUUCUCUAGCAUAAACUGAAAUACCAUUUAUGCUAGAGAAAGAAAGACACUGGAAUGUAAUGAUGGUCUAAUAAACAUUGGCAGUUAAAUCUAAUUAUUCAGCACAGUAGUACCUCUUUUACUUGGUUUCACGGGUUCAGGGCAAUUACGUAGCCCAUGAUAUUGAUUAUUGAAGUAGUUGACAUCUGAUUCAGCCCCAACUCAGAGCGUAUUAGCUUAAAUCAACCUGUAAAUCUACAUACUUAUGAUUGCAUAUUCUAACAGUACCACUACUUUGGCUUUUGUUGACUUGAACAGUACAAACAUGAACAAAUACAUCAUUAAGAACAGUAAAUAGUUUAGUCAUACGUUUUCAGCACAUAAACAUCUGGAUUACUACUGUUCUAAACUGUAAGUAUGGCAAUACAUGUGCAAAUUAUAAGAGAAUAGCUGAAAAGUAGUGAAGACUAAAAUUCUUGCACGUCUGAUGAGCAAAACUUAAGAUAGACUACGUAGUUUUGAGAAAAAACGUGUCAUUCAUAAACUGUGUCAACUUCUACAAUGCCAUUUCUCUCCGUUUCAGUACUUGAAUAAGAGACAAGCAGUAGAUUUGAGAUAUGCAUAUACAUACAAGAAGACUCGUAUAAGUCAUACCACAUUAGUAAAUCUUCAGUGACUCAGCAAGCAUCAUCCACAUUUUAUUAAUGCUUUCCUACGAUCAUGAAAGUUUGGCAGGGUUUCAAAGCUCUAUGGCAUCA